rnacentral:lncRNA from 1 species
UAGCGAGUACUCACGGGAACAGUGUACUUUCCAGUGUAGUUUGGAUUGGCGAUGUCGUAGAGCUCACGGACAGUCUUGGCAUUGUUUAUGGGGUCAGGCUGAGCACCAGGUUCUUCGUUGUCCGAGGAAGGAAACGUCCAUCCAAAGUGACUCUCGCCUUCUUUGGUUCUCUCCCACUUUGGUUUCGUGGACUACACGUUACGAGAGAAAGGUGUGAAGAUCAUCCUCAAGAAAACAAAAGAAGAAGCUUCUAGCACUUAGAAUUGUCCAAAGCAACAAGAAUACACACCAACCAUAUGAAGCACAAGAAUCGAAGAAACCAACACUCUGAUGUCACAAACAAACACAGGAAAUCGAAGAAAACGCUAGCUUCAUGCAAGCGCGAGAAAGCUUCUAACUUCCAAAAGAAAGAUGGAAAUUUCUUGGACAUACCGUGACGCCAAUAGCAUGGUCUAAGCCCUUGAGCUUGAGCGUAGCGAAGCACCGGGAAGCCCAGGGACACGCAUACGAGAUGUAGAGAUGGUACCUAUCGGCCACGGCCGGAAUAUCACACCCUUCUUUGCUAGAAAUCCAGCUGCGAAACGAUGACUCGGUGCGCUUGAAUUCCCCAUCUGUCGAUGUCUCAUCGAUCGCCGUCUUUCCCAUCGCUCGUCCAGCUCCAAAUCGCCUCUUCUGGAUCCGAGCGGCAAAUCGCAGUGAUCCUCUGGCGAUCCCGACGGAGAGAGCCGCCAGAUUGACUUCCUGUUGCCCGCCAGAUUGACUUCGAUUUGGAUUACUUUGGGCUCUGUUUUUCAGGGUUAUGAUGCUGGGAGCUGCCCGGCGAUGGCGAUGGCGUCUCCCGGCGUGGAAUCUGGGAAGCAGGAGCUUGUAUUCCACGCUCAUGGGUAUGUUCUUGCGAAAUGUAGGUGGAUUGGAGACAUGGAUUUUCUAUCUCCAGACAAGCAUGCGCCCAUUCCCGACGAUAUUUUGCGAAUUUUGGAGAAGAGAAUGAGCUCUAUUGAAGACCGCCAUGCUUGUCUUUCCAAAGCGCUUCUAGAGGUAAAUUGUAGAUUCGGAUUUCGUCCUUGAAAAUACGAUCGUGAAUGAUUUCAGCCUGGGAUUGCGUCAGAAAAGCUCAUCAAGAUGAACAAGGAGCUUCGCAAUCUGGAUUACUCCGUGGAUAUGAUCAAGGCGCUGAGAGCCAAAGAAAAGGUUUGACGUCUAAAGUUUGGAAAAAAGAGACUCUUUGGUUGAAUGCAGGAAGUAAUUGGCUUGAAAGAAUUGGUAAAAGAGUCCGUUGAAGACGAAGAAAUGCGUAGGCUGGCCUCUGGAGAACUUCAAACGGCCACCAGAGAAGUGAGAGAUGCCCAGCACGACGUUCUCCUGGAGCUUAUACCUAAAGAUGAAGCUGAUAGCAGAGGUUGUAUUCUCGAAGUCAGAGCAGGCAAGUGCAACCCAUAAGCUUGAUGUUUGAUAUGUUUUAUCUAAUUUUUAGGAGCUGGAGGUGACGAAGCGUCAAUUUUUGCGUCUGAUCUCUUCAAGAUGUAGGCACGUCUUUCUGGUUCAUUCCGAAUGCUUAUUAGAUUUCUAUGAAUGCUCUCAGGUAUGACAAAUAUGCUGCAAACAACUCAUGGAGGUUUGAAGUUCUGAGCAUUACUACCACCGACACCCGAGGUUACAAGGUAACUAUCCGGUUCUCCACGGGCGUAUCUAAGCUUGUCUUUAUAGGAGGCUAGUGCUGCAAUAUCUGGAGAUGGUGUUUAUGGAGCUCUGAAGUUCGAAAGUGGCGUUCAUCGCGUCCAGGUACGAAAGUAAUUACCGUGGUUUCAUUUUUUUAUAUGCAUCCGUGUGCAGCGUGUUCCUGUCACUGAGAAGGCUGGGCGUAUACACACAAGUACUGCGUCAGUCGCUAUUCUUCCCGAAGCGAAUGAGGUUCACUCCAGGUUUACUAAACCUUUGCACUUGCAUAGACCAUUGAUACAUGUUUCUUUUUCUCGUUUUUCUGUUGCUGAAGUUUGACUCUGCUGACAGAUUGAUGUCGAGAUCCGUAAUGACGAGAUAAAGAUAGACACUUACCGAGCUGGUGGAGCUGGUGGACAGCAUGUAAAUACUACCUGCAGCGCAGUCCGAGUUACCCACACUCCAACAGGUAUCGUGGUCGCAAUCCAAGACGAACGCUCUCAACACAAGGUAGGCCCUUCAACACGCGUGCUUUGCUACAACUGAGCUGAGAUUGUAUAGAACAAAGCAAAAGCUUUGAGUAUUUUAUAUGCUAGGCUGUACGAGCUCGAGCGGUCCCGAGCAGUGGCAAGUCGGUCUGAAUUACGACAAGAUCAGGUAAUUCAGUUUAUUGUCGCAGAACGUUAUUUUUUCUACUUUUAUAAAUUGUCACUCCAGAUUGGCUCAAGCGACAGAUCGGAGCGCAUAAGAACGUAUAACUUUCCCCAAGGUCGGGUAACUGAUCAUCGAGUGGGAGUGACGCAACACGCGAUUGAGCAAAUUAUGGAGGGGAUUGGUCUGGAAAUUUUUGUGAAUGCGCUCAAGAUGCAGCACGAAGCGAGCGCUUUGGCGUCGCUCAAAGCUGCAGCAGCUUGACUGCCCAUAAGUUUCACUGUUUUUUUUUCUUCCUAUGUUUUUUUUACCGUGUCAGAUGUUGACAAUUGGAUUCCGCAUUUGUUUGAACGUCAGGUGAGUGUUCUAUUAUAAAUGGCAACAGCACUGACUUGUUUCCAUGCACAGGACCGUCAUCGGAUCAAUGUGCGUGGACGGCACGAAGCUGAUCAUGUAGGCCUCUUUCGUGCGACGAUGUGAGCUAAAAAAUGGAGUGGGGGAAGUCAGAGGUGCCAGGCCACCUACUUAAACGUUUCUCCUGAAAGAAUCAACAUCUUGGUCAGUAGCAGAGGAGGAUGGUUCAUGAAAUGACGGCUGCCGAUGGGACGCUACGGGUGGUUUCUUUUCCUUGGUGCAUUAAGUUCCGGAGCGUUUGCAAGAAUCUCUUGAAGCGGAUGAAACUCAUCGGUAGAAGGUCGUCAACUCGUGGGGUGCUGGUGAAGAGCAGCAGCAACAAGCACAGGAUCAGUUGGACAGCGAGCUUUGCAUACAGGCAGCAGCAGAAGCAAAAGCUCAAGAAGUCGGGAAGCAGUUUAUGGUCGUUUACAGCAAACUCAAGAACAGUGAUAGCUGCACGGAAGCUUUAGAUCGCCAGGAAGUCAUCCACCGCAACUUAGAGGAUUCUCAGGCUUCGUCCAGCAGCUUCUCGUUCAAGAAUGAUGCGGAGGACCUUGGGCAUGGCAAAGGCAAGAAGAUUUUGUCACCGCAUCCUGGCGUGCAGCGCAGUGAGGCUAUGAAGCUCAAAUCGAGGUGGGACGAAGUGGUGGAGAUGGUUGUAGCGGACAGCUUUGAUGAUUUGGUGGACUUGGAGGAAUUUCUGGGCUACUAUAUGCUGCUCAAUUGCCCCGUCUUUCGAGCCAUGGUGCAGAGGUUUUUUAGCGAGUUUUGUGUGGAGUUUUGCGAGGACGAGGAGCUUCUAGCUGUCAGUCUGUUCAUCCCAGAAAUGCAGGAUUUUCCCUCUUUUGGGAAUUCUUCUGAAAGGGAAUUAGAAUGCUUGCCGCCAUCGCCUUGCUAGUUUAAAGGAAUAACGUUUCUAGGAAAGACGAAAACAUCGUUAGUAAAGCAUAUUUUCACCAUAAUGAAAAUAAAAAUGCACUCCAUGACUUUUACUUUACAUUUGAAAAGUUUCUAAAAUAUUAAAGAGUCUUACCUCCAUAAAGGUUUGAAUAAACAAUAGAUUAGUUUUGGUUUAAACCAGACGAAAAGGUCGCCUCUUGCUACUCACAAGAAAAAAGUACCAGUCACUGAAAGUUUCACCUCUCCUCAUCUCUCAGGAAUCCACCUCUUUUGGUUUAAGCUUAAUUUCGCCACAACCAGCUUGCUCUUGCUGCUCCGCCCAGCACGAGUUUGUGCUAGCCCGCACGACAAAAACAAAAUAGAUUUUGCCCUUGUUGUAAACUCUGUAUGGAUCAGCAGGAAAUCUGAUCCAGACGAUAAUCUUGUUGUGGGCUCGUGACAUGGAUUAAGUGGUCUAAAGUCUCUUCCGUACUAAAGCCUUAAAAAGCUUUUCACAGAAGUUUAAGUAAAACAGGAUGCCUCAUGGAUUGUGCAUUGCCAUGAGGGCUUGCGCAGAUUUUACUCAUAAAAUAUACUUUACAUUCCAACAAAUAUUCUAUACCGUAUCAGAAUAUUUGUUUGAAUGUAUAGUAUAUUUUCAUCGCCCUUAACAGCAUACCUAGAUUAUUUGGUAGUCAGCAAGAAUGAGAGACGUGUUGGUCAAGGACAUCCAUCAUCUCCAAGACUAUCCAGUCUUUGGUUCACAGACAUCGGCUUUUGUUACGUUUGGGAGCGUGGGGGAGCUCAUGGCCUUCUUGCGACAGCAGCACCCGCUCUGCCCACACGGCUGCGAUAGCUCGGCACUCACCAAGUUUGACUAUUUCGAAAACCACAUGCUGAUCCAGCCGCGCUACAAGUGCACGGUGUGCAAACGGCACUUCACCCUGGGUGGCACAAUACGAGCGAAACGAGCCAAGAAAGAAGAUGGCGGUCGUCCAAGGAAGAGACCCAAGAAGGAGCAGCAGCAGAACAAGUCAAGGGGGCAGUGUCUUCCUCGCGAGAUGUUGCCUUCGUCGAUGAUUCCAUCGGCCGCAACCAGUGGGAGUCGCGGUUGUGCAUCCCCGCGCAGGGCAAGUCGCGGAGCUUCGAGGAGAACGGCGAGGCCAUCACCAAGCACUACAGGUCAAUGCCCUAGUCAACUCGUGGUCCGGGAUCAGUCGUUGCCAGUCAACGCCUGUGACCUCGAGGGAUACGUGCAAGACGAGGAGAUCUUCCAGGAGGUUGAGAAAUUGUGGUGUAAAAUGGAUUUGGAGGACAAGGGUCCUUCCGUGGAGGACGAGGAGAAGAACUUUCUCAGGGAUUUCAAUGUCGAUGAUGGUGAUGAUCUAGAUUUACUACUGGGUCUUGAGGAGUUCAGCCGGGAGUUCAGCAACCCACAGGGCCAGGGCACCCGAUUCGAUUUGGGCGAGGAGCAAAACAAUUUUGCCAUGGAGCUGGUGCGGCAAAUGGAGGAAGAAUUUCCCAUCCCAGCACUAGACGAGGAGAAUGAUUUCGCCAUGGAGUUGGAGCGGGAAAUUGAGGAAGCAUCUAUGACAGCAAAGAAACAAGCAAUGCUUGUAUGGAAGGACGAAGUGCGUAAAAUUAGAAAUCAAGACAAUCUCACAUUCACCACAAAUCACAUUGGUUUUGGAGGUCCCCAAACUCUUAAAUGCUGAUCGAUGAGCAAUAAAUGGAUGAUAAAUGAAAAGCAUUAGUCAAUAGAAGUAAUUUUGUUUCUGGAACAAGUUCAUUACAUUAUUUGUUAUUAGGUGAAGAGUUUUUCAUGAAAAAAGACUCACCCAUCCUUUGUGAAAGAAAGAAAAAAAGAAAUUAGGGCGAAUUAGGUCUCUAUAAGGUCGUCCCCGGAGGCAGAGGAGCCGCGAUGCUGUGAUUGUCAACCGAGCAGGUAUUCUGGUGGCGCCCUUGCCGACAAUGCAGCGAUCGUCCUAGCGAUCGAUCGAUCGAUCGAUCGAUCGCUCGCUCGCUCCGGAGAAGAGCAGAGAAAUGAUCUGGGCAGGAUUCGCGUACGCCGCGGGCGCCGCGAUCGGCCACAGCUGCAUCGAUGCCAGCAGGAAAUGGGCGUCCCAGCGCUUCUCGGACCGCGAGCUCGUAGCUCUGGUGGCUCUCCUGGACGCGCUGCUCCUCUCCUCCAUGGCGCUCCUCUCCGGCGGCUUCGAUCUCUUCUCUUUGACGCGGCUGGACAUCGAGUACGUCGCCGCGCUCCUCGUCACCGCGGCGAUCAAGGCUCUGGUGGGGUUCAUGUACCAGCGUGCUCUCCACGUCUCCCCUCUCUCGGUCACUGUUCCUUAUCUAGCUUUCACUCCAGUUCUUCUGGUUUUUACGAGCUAUGUGAUCAUCAACGAGCUCCCGAGCUCGCAGGGGCUCAUGGGAAUCGUGGUGGUCACUCUCGGCGGCUACUUCCUCGCGCUGGAUCACCCGGCGGAGGUGGAGGUGAAGAAAUCCGACGAGUCCCCGGGCAAGAUCGUCUCGGUUCUUCCUUUGCUUCCUUGGAACUCGUCCAAGGCUUGUGACAAGGUCCCAAAGUUUUCCACCGAUGGCGAUGGUGUCGUGUUGGAUCUCAGUGAGAAGAACUCCCCUCCGGUGGCGAUUCCUGGAGGGAAUUCUUCCUGGUGGCCACAGAUUCAAUGGUAAAGAUUUCUCUCUUUUUUUUUUCGCUUUUCCUGUUCUAAAGUUUGCAAAAGGGAAGAGGGGACGCUUCUCAUGCUGGGUGUUGCAGCGUUACUGAGCAUAAGUAACAGGUUCGUUUUCUCGAGAUUCAUUUAUGGCUUCUCAGCUCCAUUGUCUUUGCAGCCUUGACAAAAUGGCUGGUCACUUGGCACCAUCGCUUCUCAAUUUUGCCGCUCUCCAACGAGGCUUUACGGCCGUUCCCGUGGUUUUAUAUCUACUUGUCACAAGGUUGGCUUGUUUAUCUCUCUCAGGUGAUAGCUUAGCUGACUCCUGCGUCAAUGCUCUUCCGCUGCAGCCGCCGCCACCGCCAUCCAUCUCCAACACCCCAGGAGCAGCAACACCCCGAUCAAACUUCUCGCUCAUGCGGCUCCUCACGCCCCGCUCCGCAAGAACAGUGUCUCUUCCAUUGCGAUUCACGCUAUCGUCUUCUUCGUCCGCGUCUCCGUCGUCUUCUUCGUCGACAGGGGCCGCGGCAGUGAGUCCAGAUGCCAUUAGAGAAAAUUUGAUCUCGUCAUCAAAGGUAGAACUUUUCUUUCUUUCUUUCAUCGUCAACUUUGUCAUCUCGUCUUCGCAGGGCAAGCAGAUCAAACGCUCCAAGUCGGCGCUCGAUGGUCACCAAAAGGAGAAGAAGCUCACCCGGCUUUACUCCGGAACGUUUCUCGUCAAGCCGACCACUCCUCGUCCUCGUCCCCAGGAAACUUCACAAGCAGACGAUGGAGCCCAAGACACUGACCAUGCCAACGACACCCAAGGUACGGAAACUUCCUAUGAUCAAGUUCAUGGAGACCAUGGUUCCAUGAUCUGAAAGUUUCAAAACUUUUAGACGGCGAGGACGAGGAGAUCCCCGAGGAGGAAGCAGUGUGCCGCAUUUGCCUGUGCGAUCUGGGCGAGGAGGGCAAGACGCUCAAGCUCGAGUGUAGCUGCAAAGGGGAGCUGGCGCUGGCUCACGAGGAGUGCGCUCUCAAGUGGUUUGGGAUCCGAGGCAACCGCGAGUGCGAUGUUUGUGGCCAGGAGGUCGUCAAUCUCCCCGUCACGCUCGUCAGGCUCCAGCAAAACCAAAACAAUAUCAACGCUGAAACUCAAGUUCUCCAGCAAGCUCAAAUGGCGCAAAUGAGUGCUCCCAACAGGUAGAUUCGUCUAUCUCGCUCUAUAGUUUUAUAGAUUCCAUGGUGUUCUUCCAGGAUUUGGCAUGACGUUCCCGUGCUCGUCAUGAUCAGCAUGCUCACGUACUUUUGCCUCCUCGAGCAGCUACUGGUGAUAAUUCUCUGAUGAUUUCGAUUGAUUUGCGAAGUUCUUGGAUGGAUUCUUUGUUGCCUACUACAGGUGAGACGAAAGGGCCCUCGAGCAUUGAUGCUAGCUCUGCCAUUCGCCGUCAUGUUUGGAAUGCUCACUGCCAUCACAGGAUCAACGCUUGGUAAGAUUUCGUUUCUCUCUCUUUCUCUCGAGCUCCUGUCUGUAACAAUAGAUUCUUUCGACGCACAGUGAGGCAGCGUUGUAUGUGGCUCUUUGCCAUCUUUCAGGUCGGUUUUGUCAUACUAUUUGCGCAUGUUUUCUACAGUUGGGUAAGAUCACUCUCUUAAAACUUUUUUAGUUCUUAUUUCAAACCAUGAUCCAGAUGAAGUUGAACCCAAUCUUGUCGAUUUCGCUGGCCUGUUUUGCGGGAUUCGGAUUGUCCAUGAUCGUGAAUGCUCUCCUCCUGGAAUGUUGGAGCUGGAGAACAAGAGCAGCGCGACAAGAAGACGCAAGCCAAGAUAUCGUAUAAAUAUGUACUGUAAUUCUUACACACUUGUUUUGUGAUAGAACAAAAUGUAUGCAUCGCUCGAGCACCUCGAUAGCUCAAAAAUCUCUUCCACCACCUCAUCGUCAAAGCUGUACCACUUUCCAUUUGGAAGUUUGAUGGUUGCCGUGUAGUGCCCAUAGUCGGAGUCCCCCAUAUGGUUAAUCAAUCCAUACAGUUUGUACUCCUGUUCGCAAAGUGUCAAAAUCUGUGGAAACUCCACCGUAGUGUCGAUCUUCUCCACACUCCCCGAAGAAUCGCACUUAAACCUUGCCAAAUGGAGGAUUAAAUUCCGUGGGAGCUUCCCAAGCUCCAGUUUCUUGACAGCGUCCUUUUGGUUUCUCUUGCACUUUGGGCAGUGCCAGGAAUCCAAAACAUCGUCUUUGGUGUACUCCCGGAUGCAUGAUCCCAGAGAAACCGGCUGCGCCGUCUCAUGGACUGGCAGCGAGAGAGAGGUGAAAGAUUCAGGCGUGGAGGAGACCAUGUUGGAGCACUUCGGGCAUUUCACUGUGGAUUUGGUUUGGCCCUCGAAGAAAUCUGCGACUGGAGAGGGGAGCUCUGGCCGCACCUUUUUUCCUUUAGGGGGAUUCUCUUGCUUCUUGAAUUCCUGAUCCAGGGCACCCAAAAGAAAAUCGAGAUACUCCUGUGCGUCCUGCUGGACGCUCGGAUUUGUCAGCUUUGGCCCUGGUUUUACAGACUUGCUUGCGUUAUUCCAAAUCGCCCUCACCACUUUCCUAAACUCGAUUACUAUCUCACCUCUUACGCUGUCUGAUUUCAAGAAGAAGCUAGAGAGCUCCGGAGUGUGUGCAACGCACUGUAAAGCACUGUUGGCUGAACAAGAAUUCCCUUGGUUUUGAAAGCCCACAGCCAUUUUCCUUGCACACAACCCAAAAGAAAACCUAGAAUAUUUAAAGAAAACAAACAGGCAUGAAAUAAUUUAAUAAUAAUUAUAAAAUAGCAAAAUUACCGAUUUUACAUUUAAAUAAUAAAUUUAAAUGGAGAGUUAUUGAUGAUAAAUGAUAAUAUUAAAAUAAUUUAUAAAAUGCCUAAAAAUAUUUUUUAAUUGUGUUAUAAGCUUAUAUAUAAACACAUUUUGUGAGGGCCAAGUGUACAGUUACGAUGCCGUAUACUAAUAUACUAAUAUUAGCGUAAUGGGAUUUUGGUAGCCGUUGGAUUGGUUUCAAUUUGGACCACUCGCUCCUAUAUAUAAACUAGGGUUUUUGGGCUAAUUGAUAUGCACAUUUCGGUAUUCCUAUUCCAUAUUCCAUGCACUCACAUUAGUGGAGAUGAAGGGCACUUUUGAUUGUCCCUGGGGAGUGCUUGGAUUUGGGACUUCGGUUUAGAUCUAGCUUUUGCAUCGUCUAAAUUUAGCUUUUUCCAUUUCCUUUCUUUUGUUCUUUCUUUUCAGAAUUUUGGUUUAGAUCUAGCUUUUUGCAUUGUCUAGAUCUACCAUUUCUUUCCAGCUUUUUGUCAUCUCUCUUCUUUUGCUCUUUCUUUUUCGUUCAUCUUCAUGGCUGAUCCACAAUCUCCUCCUUUGACUCUAGAGCAACAUUUGGUUCAAUUGCUUGAUGCUAUACGCUUGCAAUUGAACAACCAAACUCAAUUGAUGAUGGCAUUCACAACACGUGGUCCAACUCCUCCUGCUCUUGGUGCCAAUCCUCGUGUUCGGCCAGAGUUCUUUCGUGGGAAUCUUGGGGAUGAUGUGUACCAUUGGUUCGAUCACUUCACGGUGAUUGCCACAUAUCAUUAUUGGGAUGAUGCUCGACGUUUGCGUGAGUUUCCCACGUGUCUCCAAGGGACGGCGUUGCAGUGGUACAAUGGAUUGAGUGCGGCCACUUGUGAGGAUUGGAGUGUUCUUCCGGACGUCUUCAAACACGCAUUCGGACAUGCCGACGAUUGUGAUGAUGCCUUCCAACAAUUGCAUCGUCUUCGCCAAGGGCCAUCUGAGUCGGUGAUGCAAUUUGGCGUUCGUUUCCGAAGUCUUUUGCUUCGUGCGAAGCCUAAUAUGUCGGAGCGGAUCAAGCUAGGAAUGUUGUGGCCAGCACUUCGUCAAGAUCUUGUUGGCCUUGUGCAUGCACUUGCUCCUGCCACCCUUGACAAUGCUCUUUGCUUGGCACAACGUUACGAGACGUCGCCUCUUCCACUUCUCGCUGCACAUCCUUCAGCUCCAUUUCCUAUGAGUGAGAGUCCUGUUCCAAUGGAGGUUGAUGCUGAUGCCCUUUCUCGUGCUCCUCUUCCUUCUCCACUUUCUUCUCAUGUUUCUGAUGAGCCUAUUGUUCUAGCAUCUGUGGAUUUUCUAUACGAGGAUUCAGUGCCGUUGGCGGUUGCUGUACUUGAUGUUCAGUGUCCACAAGGCGUAGAGCAAGAUCUACCUUCUCUUGAUGAGGUUCGCGAGGCUCAAAAGAUUGAGCCGUGGAUUCGAAGGCUUCAAGAUGCGUUUGAGGAUCCUACAUCACUUGCUGAUGACUUGCCUUUUCGGCAUUUACAUUCUCAAUAUUGCCUUGAGGAUGGCCUUCUUUAUUUUGUGGGGACGGAUCCUAAUGAUCAUUUACGACUGGUGGUGCCUUGUAUCUUUAUUCCACGGUUUCUCCAUGCCUACCAUGAUUCUCUUGUUUUAGGUGGGCAUAUGGGACAUCGUCGUGUGACCGAGAAGCUAUGCAGGUCUUUCUAUUGGCCAGAGAUGAGACGUGAUGUUAUCCGGUAUGUGCGUAACUGCGUUUGGUGCCAAGCUCAUAAUACUCCCCGUUGUGCUCCGGAAGGACGGUUGGAGUCAAUUGCAGUUUCCCGUCCAUUCGAGUUGGUGGCAUUUGAUCUUAUGGGAACUUUUUCACGAUCGACUGCUAGCAAUGAGUAUGUUAUUAUUGUUUCUGACUACUUGACUCGUUGGGUGGAAGUUGGUGCUCUUGCUAGCGCCUCUGCAACUGCUGUUGGAUACUUUCUCCUCAAUCGAGUGGUGUUCUAACAUUCUUGUCCAGAGCGGAUUCUUUCGGAUAAUGGUCCUGCAUUUAUGGCUGAGGUAUUUCAUGUUUUGACGUCUCAGUUGGGGAUACACCACACUUUUACGAGUGCUUAUCAUCCACAAUCAAACGGUCUGGUGGAACGGCUCGUUCGGACAUUCAAAUGGAUGAUUGCAAAGUAUGUGAACUUUCAGCAUUCGGAUUGGGAUGGUUAUUUGCUGUCUCUUCGGUAUGCCUAUGUCACAGGGGUGCAGAGUUCUGUUGGUGCUUCACCAUAUAAACUUCUAUAUGGCCAUGAUCCAAUAUUACCAACGGAGCUGGGUUUACCUUCGCGAUUGUCACGAGCUCUUGAUGCUAGGUCAUGGGAUCAAUAUUUGACGAGCAUUCUUCCACUUGUCCGAGCAAAGUCUACCGAACACUUAGGCCAUGUACAAGUGGGACAACAACGGCACUACAACUCCCAUCAUUGUCCACCUGCAGAGUACAAAGUGGAUGAUUUGGUGUUAGUCCAUUUUCCCCAUCUUACGGUACGUGGUUUAUCUAAGGGGCUCCUUGCGCAGUGGAAAGGACCAUAUCGGGUGUUGUGGCAAGUUGGACCGCAAGUUUAUGAAAUUCAGCAUGACAUUCAGCAGGCCGAUCCUCCAAAGAUUGUGCAUGUGCAGCGGUUGAAACACUUCAUACAAAGGGAUCAAGAGCAGUUAAUGCCAUCUACAGAUCCGCCGAUGCCUCCUCCUGACAUUCCUCCAGAUCCCGGCCCAUCUACAAGAGAACUCUGAUAGCCUUCCAUUAUUCCGAGAGGAGGGGAUGAUGUGAGGGUCAAGUGUACGGUUACAAUGCCGUACACUAAUAUUAGCAUAGUGGGAUUUUGGUAGCCGUCGGAUUGGUUUCAAUCCGGACCAUUCGCUCUUGUAUAUAAGUUAGGGUUUUUGGGCUAAUUGAUAUGCACAUUUCUAUAUUCCUGUUCCAUAUUCCAUGCACUCACAAUUUCACAUUAUAGAAUUAAACUUCACUACUUAAAUAUCUCUUUUAAAAUUAUACAAAGGAUUAAAUAUCAAACUAUUUCACACUUUUGUCUUUUAUAUUUUAGCUAAUUGAAUAAGUAUCACACAACCAAAUAAAAAAAUAUGAGGAAAGGGAUUCAAUAUGUAAUAAUUAUAUUCUAAUAUAAAUAUAUUUUAAGUUAUGAUAGUAACUUUAAAAGUUUUAAACACUAUUUCUAUAAGGAUUUCUUACACUCUUGACAAAAGUUUUUAUAAUUAAGAAAAUGGAAUAAAAAAAACAUGAAUGUAAUCUACUAGGAAUCUUGAAAGUUUUUUUUUUUUUUGUAACAUUCAAAAAUUCACAAGAGAAAAUGCAUAUAUGAAAAGCUAAAAACCACAAUUUUUCUUAGGAUAAUUGACAAAAAUAUACAAGUGAUGGUAGAAGAAAAUACAUGGAAGUUUAAAAAUCCUUAAUUUAUAUUUAGUGUAUGGUAAUGUUACUAUUUUUUUUUCACAUGUAGUAUAAUAUAUCCUCUAUGUAAUUUCAAAGAGUUAACACAUAAAACAUUCCAAUUUCGUUCUUCAACAUUUUAGCUAAAUUCUCUUUAAUAUCCUUUUUAGUAUAUUUUCUAAAAGAAGAAAAGGUUUUAAUGAUCUAAGACCCUUUUUGCUAAAGGCUUUUCUUUAUUUAGAUGCCUUUUGUGCUAAAUAAUGUAUCAAAAAUACUUUUCUUUCUUGUGAUAUAAAAAUUUGAUUUUGUGAAAAAUACAUUAACAAAAAGCUUUAGCAUAUUAUGCUCAAGAUUUUGAAGACUGAAGACUAGAGGGACCAAUUACAAGAGUGAAAGGAAUCAAAACAUGGUACAUAUUAUCCCCAAGAUAUCAGAAGGCCAUCACAAAGAUGUUGAAGAUUGCUGAAGUACAUCUGGUUGGCUAGUUGCACUUAAUAUAGAGAGAUCCACUUGCAUGGGAUCUGGCAUUGGUUGAUCCUUAGGACACUGCAUCGUGAAAGCGUAAAAAGCAAAAGAGAGAAAUCAGAAAUGAAAAACGAAUAAUAUAUUAUCGAAGGUGACAAUCAUAACUGGGAAUCUAAAACUCAUGUGUUAAACUUGUGGCGGUCGUGUGGAGUGGAGUAGUCGAUGACGCUUCCAACAGGGAUGACGCCAUACGGAUUGAUGGAGGGAUGACUUCCGUAGUAGUGCUUUUUGAUGUGGUCCAUGCGGACGGUGUCCGAGAUCCCAUCCAUCUGGUACACGUCCUUGACGAAGUUGAAGAGGUUUGGGUACUCACGGAUCAGCUUCUUGUUGCACUUGAAAUGAACAACAUAAACCUGGCAUAGGUAAUGAAUUUGAAUAAAACUUCGAGAGAAAGCAAGAAAAAAAAACACCCCAGAGCUUACUUCGUCGAAUCUUAUGAGCGUCUUGAAGAGCCGGAGAUCUGCCUCAGUGAAAACGUUUCCGCACAGAUACCUCUGCUUUGAGAGGAUAUCCUCGCAGCGAUCCAGCGCAUUGAACAGAGCCUCAAACGCCUGCGACAAGUAAAAGAACUUGGAUUCAUGGCUUCCGAACGAAGAAAAACUAAAGAAGAAAGGUUCUGAAGAUUUACCUCCUCAUAAGGCUUCUGCUUGGUUGCAAAGCCACAGCGAUAAACUCCGUUGUUGAUGGAGUCAUACACCCAAGCGUUCACUUCAUCAAUCUUGGCCUGGAGAUCUCUCGGGUAAAGGUCGAAGUCGGGACGCUUUGCAAGAUGGUUGAACUCGCUGUUGAGCAUGCGGAUGAUAUCAGAGCUCUCAUUGUUCACGAUAGUUUUCUUUGCUUUGUCCCAAAGAACCUGUUUACGUCAGGCAAUCAAGCUGUGAAAACCUUGAAGGGAAAGAAAGAAACGAAGAAAGAAAGGAAGCGAGUACUCACGGGAACAGUGUACUUUCCAGUGUAGUUUGGAUUGGCGAUGUCGUAAAGUUCACGGACAGUCUUGGCAUCGUUUAUGGGGUCAGGCUGAGCACCAGGUUCCUCGUUGUCAGAGGAAGGAAACGUCCAUCCAAAGUGACUCUCGCCUUCUUUGGUUCUCUCCCACUUUGGUUUUGUGGACUACACGUUACGAGAGAAAGGUGUGAAGAUCAUCCUCAAGAAAACAAAAGAAGAAGCUUCUAGCACUUAGAAUUGUCCAAAGCAACAAGGAUACACGCCAACCAUAUGAAGCACAAGAAUCGAAGAAAACAACACUUAGUUGUCACAAACAAACCAUAUGAAACACAGGAAAUCGAAGAAAACGCUAGCUUCAUGCAAGCGCGAGAAAGCUUCUAACUUCCAAAAGAAAGAAGGAAAUUUCUUUGACAUACCGUGACGCCAAUAGCAUGGUCUAAGCCCUUGAGCUUGAGCGUAGCGAAGCACCGGGAAGCCCAGGGACACGCAUACGAGAUGUAGAGAUGGUACCUAUCGGCCACGGCCGGAAUAUCACACCCUUCUUUGCUAGAAAUCCAGCUGCGAAACGAUGACUCGGUGCGCUUGAAUUCCCCAUCCGUCGAUGUCUCAUCGAUCGCCGUCUUUCCCAUCGCUCGUCCAGUUCCAAAUCGCCUCUUCUGGAUCCGAGCGGCAAAUCGCAGUGAUCCUCUGGCGAUCCCGACGGAGAGAGCCGCCAGAUUGACUUCCUGUUGCCCGCAACGUGGCAAGCAUUUCUUUUCUACUUCGAUUUGGAUUACUUUGGGCUCUGUUUUUUAGGGUUAUGAUGCUGGGAGCUGCCCAGCGAUGGCGAUGGCGUCUCCCGGCGUGGAAUCUGGGAAGCAGGAGCUUGUAUUCCACGCUCAUGGGUAUGUUCUUGCGAAAUGUAGGUGGAUUGGAGUCAUGGAUUUUCUAUCUCCAGACAAGCAUGCGCGCAUUCCCGACGAUAUUUUGCGAAUUUUGGAGAAGAGAAUGAUCUCUAUUGAAGACCGCCAUGCCUGCCUUUCCGAAGCGCUUCUAGAGGUAAAGUGUAGAUUCGGAUUUCGUCCUUGAAAAUACGAUCGUGAAUGAUUUCAGCCUGGGAUUGCGUCAGAAAAGCUCAUCAAGAUGAACAAGGAGCUUCGCAAUCUGGAUUACUCCGUGGAUAUGAUCAAGGCGCUGAGAGCCAAAGAAAAGGUUUGACGUCUAAAGUUUGGAAAAAAGAGACUCUUUGGUUGAAUGCAGGAAGUAAUUGGCUUGAAAGAAUUGGUCAAAGAGUCCGUUGAAGACGAAGAAAUGCGUAGGCUGGCCUCUGGAGAACUUCAAACGGCCACCAGAGAAGUGAGAGAUGCUCAGCACGAUGUUCUCCUGGAGCUUAUACCUAAAGAUGAAGCUGCUCGAAGCAGAGCAGGCAAGUGCUCUCUGAUGUGCUUGAUGUUUGAUAUGUUUCAUCUAAUUUUUAGGAGCUGGAGGUGACGAAGCGUCAAUUUUUGCGUCUGAUCUCUUCAAGAUGUAGGCACGUCUUUCUGGUUCAUGUCGAAUGCUUAUUAGAUUUCUAUGAAUGCUCUCAGGUAUGACAAAUAUGCUGCAAACAACUCAUGGAGGUUUGAAGUUCUGAGCAUUACUACCACCGACACCCGAGGUUACAAGGUAACUAUCCGGUUCUCCACGGGCGUAUCUAAGCUUGUUUUUAUAGGAGGCUAGUGCUGCAAUAUCUGGAGAUGGUGUUUAUGGAGCUCUUAAGUUCGAAAGUGGCGUUCAUCGCGUCCAGGUACGACAGUAAUUGCCGUGGUUUCAUUUUUUUAUAUGCAUCCGUGUGCAGCGUGUUCCUGUCACUGAGAAGGCUGGGCGUAUACACACAAGUACUGCGUCAGUCGCUAUUCUUCCCGAAGCGAAUGAGGUUCACUCCAGGUUUACUAAACCUUUGCACUUGCAUAGACCAUUGAUACAUGUUUCUUUUUCUCGUUUUUCUGUUGCUGAAGUUUUGACUAUGCUGACAGGUUGAUGUCGAGAUCCGUAAUGACGAGAUAAAGAUAGACACUUACCGAGCUGGUGGAGCCGGUGGACAGCAUGUAAAUACUACCUGCAGCGCAGUCCGAGUUACCCACGCUCCAACAGGUAUCGUGGUCGCAAUCCAAGACACAAGGUAAUCCCUUCAACACGCGUGCUUUGCUACAACUGAGCUGAGAUUGUAUAGAACAAAGCAAAAGCUUUGAGUAUUUUAUAUGCUAGGCUGUACGAGCUCGAGCGGUCCCGAGCAGCGGCAAGUCGGUCUGAAUUACGACAAGAUCAGGUAAUUCAGUUUAUUGUCGCAGAACGUUAUUUUUUCUAUUUUUAUAAAUUGUCACUCCAGAUCGGCUCAAGCGACAGAUCGGAGCGCAUAAGAACGUAUAACUUUCCCCAAGGUCGGGUAACUGAUCAUCGAGUGGGAGUGACGCAACACGCGAUUGAGCAAAUUAUGGAGGGGAUUGGUCUGGAAAUUUUUGUGAAUGCGCUCAAGAUGCAGCACGAAGCGAGCGCUUUGGCGUCGCUCAAAUCUGCAGCAGCUUGACUACCCAUAAGUUUCACUGUUUUUUUUUCUUCCUAUGUUUUUUUACCGUGUCAGAUGUUGACAAUUGGAAGCAUUUGUUUGAACGUCAGAUGAGUGUUCUAUUAUAAAUGGCAACAGCACUGACUUGUUUCCAUGCACAGGACCGUCAUCGGAUCAAUGUGCGUGGACGGCACGAAGCUGAUCAUGUAGGCCUCUUUCGUGCGACGAUGUGAGCUAAAAAAUGGAGUGGGGGAAGUCAGAGGUGCCAGGCCACCUACUUAAACGUUUCUCCUGAAAGAAUCAACAUCUUGGUCAGUAGCAGAGGAGGAUGGAGUUUUGUGUGGAGUUUUGCGAGGACGAGGAGCUUCUAGCUGUCAGCCUGUUCAUCCCAGAAAUGCAGGAUUUUCCCUCUUUUGGGAAUUCUUCUGAAAGGGAAUUAGAAUGCUUGCCGCCAUCGCCUUGCUAGUUUAAAGGAAUAACGUUUCUAGGAAAAAAGAAAAAACAUCGUUAGUAAAGCAUAUUUUCACCACCAUGACUUUUACUUUACAUUUGAAAAGUUUCUAAAAUAUUAAAUAGUCUUACCUCCAUAAAGGUUUGAAUAAACAAUAGAUUAGUUUUGGUUUAAACCAGACGAAAAGGUCGCCUCACAAGAAAAAAGUACCAGUCACUGAAAGUUUCACCUCUCCUCAUCUCUCAGGAAUCCACCUCUUUUGGUUUAAGCUUAAUUUCGCCACAACCAGCUUGCUCUUGCUGCUCCGCCCAGCACGAGUUUGUGCUAGCCCGCACAACAAAAACAAAAUAGAUUUUACCCUUGUUGUAAACUCUGUAUGGAUCAGCAGGAAAUCUGAUCCAGACGAUAAUCUUGUUGUGGGCUAGUGACAUGGAUUAAGUGGUCUAAAGUCUCUUUCAUACUAAAGCCUUAAAAAGCUUUUCACAGAAGUUUAAGUAAAACAGGAUGCCUCAUGGAUUGUGCAUUGCCAUGAGGGCUUGCGCAGAUUUUACUCAUAAAAUAUACUUUACAUUCCAACAAAUAUUCUAUACCGUAUCAGAAUAUUUGUUUGAAUGUAUAGUAUAUUUUCAUCGCCCUUAACAGCAUACCUAGAUUAUUUGGUAGUCAGCAAGAAUGAGAAACGUGUUGGUCAAGGACAUCCAUCAUCUCCAAGACUAUCCAGUCUUUGGUUCACAGACAUCGGCUUUUGUUACGUUUGGGAGCGUGGGGGAGCUCAUGGCCUUCUUGCGACAGCAGCACCCGCUCUGCCCACACGGCUGCGAUAGCUCGGCACUCACCAAGUUUGACUAUUUCGAAAACCACAUGCUGAUCCAGCCGCGCUACAAGUGCACGGUGUGCAAACGGCACUUCACCCUGGGUGGCACAAUACGAGCGAAACGAGCCAAGAAAGAAGAUGGCGGUCGUCCAAGGAAGAGACCCAAGAAGGAGCAGCAGCAGAACAAGUCAAGGGGGCAGUGUCUUCCUCGCGAGAUGGUGCCUUCGUCGAUGAUUCCAUCGGCCGCAACCAGUGGGAGUCGCGGUUGUGCAUCCCCGCACAGGGCAAGUCGCGGAGCUUCAAGGAGAACGGCGAGGCCAUCACCAAGCACUACAGGUCAAUGCCCUAGUCAACUCGUGGUCCGGGAUCAGUCGUUGCCAGUCAACGCCUGUGACCUCGAGGGAUACGUGCAAGACGCGGAGAUCUUCCAGGAGGUUGAGAAAUUGUGGUGUAAAAUGGAUUUGGAGGACAAGGGUCCUUCCGUGGAGGACGAGGAGAAGAACUUUCUCAGGGAUUUCAAUGUCGAUGAUGGUGAUGAUCUAGAUUUACUACUGGGUCUUGAGGAGUUCAGCCGGGAGUUCAGCAACCCACAGGGCCAGGGCACCCGAUUCGAUUUGGGCGAGGAGCAAAACAAUUUUGCCAUGGAGCUGGUGUGGCAAAUGGAGGAAGAAUUUCCCAUCCCAGCACUAGACGAGGAGAAUGAUUUCGCCAUGGAGUUGGAGCGGGAAAUUGAGGAAGCAUCUAUGAAAGCAAAGGAGGAGGCAAUGCUUGUAUGGAAGGACGAAGUGAGUAAAAUUCGAAAUCAAGACAAUCUCACAUUCACCACAAAUCACAUUGGUUUUGGAGGUGCCCAAACUCUUAAAUGCUGAUCGAUCAGCAAAAAAUGAAUGAUAAAUGAAAAGCAUUAGCGAAUAGAAGUAAUUUUGUUUUUGGAACAAGUUCAUUACAUUAUUUGUUAUUAGGUGAAGAGUUUUUCGUGAAAAAAGACUCACCCAUCCCUUGUGAAAGAAAGAAAAAAAGAAAUUAGGGCGAAUUAGGUCUCCAUAAGGUCGUCCCCGGAGGCAGAGGAGCCGCGAUGCUGUGAUUGUCAACCGAGCAGGUAUUCUGGUGGCGCCCUCGCCGACAAUGCAGCGAUCGUCCUAGCGAUCGAUCGAUCGAUCGAUCGAUCGCUCGCUCGCUCCGGAGAAGAGCAGAGAAAUGAUCUGGGCAGGAUUCGCGUACGCCGCGGGCGCCGCGAUCGGCCACAGCUGCAUCGAUGCCAGCAGGAAAUGGGCGUCCCAGCGCUUCUCGGACCGCGAGCUCGUAGCUCUGGUGGCUCUCCUGGACGCGCUGCUCCUCUCCUCCAUGGCGCUCCUCUCCGGCGGCUUCGAUCUCUUCUCUUUGACGCGGCUGGACACCGAGUACUUCGUCUGCUUCGUCGACAGGGGCCGCGGCAGUGAGUCCAGAUGCCACUAGAGAAAAUUUGAUCUCGUCAUCAAAGGUAGAACUUUUCUUUCUUUCUUUCAUCGUCAACUUUGUCAUCUCGUCUUCGCAGGACAAGCAGAUCAAACGCUCCAGGUCGGCGCUCGAUGGUCACCAAAAGGAGAAGAAGCUCACCCGGCUUUACUCCGGAACGUUUCUCGUCAAGCCGACCACUCCUCGUCCUCGUCCCCGGGAAACUUCACAAGGAGACGAUGGAGCCCAAGACACUGACCAUGCCAACGACACCCAAGGUACGUAAACUUCCUAUGAUCAAGUUCAUGGAGACCAUGGUUCCAUGAUCUGAAAGUUUCAAAACUUUUAGACGGCGAGGCCGAGGAGAUCCCGGAGGAGGAAGCAGUGUGCCGCAUUUGCGUGUGCGAUCUGGGAGAGGAGGGCAAGACGCUCAAGCUCGAGUUUAGCUGCAAAGGGGAGCUGGCGCUGGCUCACGAGGAGUGCGCUCUCAAGUGGUUUGGGAUCCGAGGCAACCGCGAGUGCGAUGUUUGUGGCCAGGAGGUCGUCAAUCUCCCCGUCACGCUCGUCAGGCUCCAGCAAAACCAAAACAAUAUCAACGCUGAAACUCAAGUUCUCCAGCAAGCUCAAAUGGCGCAAAUGAGUGCUCUCAACAGGUAGAUUCGUCCAUCUCGCUCUAUACUUUUGUAGAUUCCAUGGUGUUCUUCCAGGAUUUGGCAUGACGUUCCCGUGCUCGUCAUGAUCAUCAUGCUCACGUACUUUUGCCUCCUCGAGCAGCUACUGGUGAUAAUUCUCUGAUGAUUUCGAUUGAUUUGCGAAGUUCUUGGAUGGAUUUCUUUGUUGCCUACUACAGGUGAGACGAAAGGGCCCUCGAGCAUUGAUGCUAGCUCUGCCAUUCGCCGUCAUGUUUGGAAUGCUCACUGCCAUCACAGCAUCAACGCUUGGUAAGAUUUCGUUUCUCUCUCUUUCUCUCGAGCUCCUGUUUGUAACAAUAGAUUCUUUCGACGCACAGUGAGGCGGCGUUGUAUGUGGCUCUUUGCCAUCUUUCAGGUCGGUUUUGUCAUACUAUUUGCGCAUGUUUUGUAAGAUCACUCUCUUAAAACUUUUUUAGCUCUUAUUUCAAUCCAUGAUCCAGAUGAAGUUGAACCCAAUCUUGUCAAUUUCGCUGGCCGGUUUUGCGGGAUUCGGAUUGUCCAUGAUCGUGAAUGCUCUCCUCCUGGAAUGUUGGAGCUGUAGAACAAGAGCAGCGCGACAAGAAGACGCAAGCGAAGAUAUCGUGUAAAUAUGUACUGUAAUUCUCACACACUUGUUUUGUGAUAGAACAAAAUGUAUGCAUCGCUCGAGCACCUCGAUAGCUCAAAAAUCUCUUCCACCACCUCAUCGUCAAAGCUGUACCACUUUCCAUUUGGAAGUUUGAUGGUUGCCGUGUAGUGCCCAUAGUCGGAGUCUCCCAUAUGGUUAAUCAAUCCAUACAGUUUGUACUCCUGUUCCCAAAGUGUCAAAAUCUGUGGAAACUCCACCGUGGUGUCGAUCUUCUCCACACUCCCCGAAGAAUCGCACUUAAACCUUGCCAAAUGGAGGAUCAAAUUCCGUGGGAGCUUCCCAAGCUCCAGUUUCUUGACAGCGUCCUUUUGGUUUCUCUUGCACUUUGGGCAGUGCCAGGAAUCCAAAACAUCGUCUUUGGUGUACUCCCGGAUGCAUGAUUCCAGAGAAACCGGCUGCGCCGUCUCAUGGACUGGCAGCGAGAGAGAGGUGAAAGAUUCAGGCGUGGAGGAGACCAUGUUGGAGCACUUCGGGCAUUUCACUGUGGAUUUGGUUUGGCCCUCGAAGAAAUCUGCGAAUUCUUGAUCCAGGACACCCAAAAGAAAAUCGAGAUACUCCUGUGCGUCCUGCUGGACGCUCGGAUUUGUCAGCUUUGGCCCUGGUUUUACAGACUUGCUUGCGUUAUUCCAAAUCGCCCUCACCACUUUCCUAAACUCGAUUGCUAUCUCACCUCUUACGCUGUCUGAUUUGAAGAAGAAGCUAGAGAGCUCCGGCGUGUGAGCAACGCACUGUAAAGCACUGUUGGUUUUGAAAGCCCACAGCCAUUUUCCUUGCACACAACCCAAAAGAAAACCUAGAAUAUUUAAAGAAAACAAGCAGACAUUAUAAAAUAAUAAAAUUAUCAAUUCUACAUUUUUAUAAUAAAUUUUAAAUGGAGAGUUAUUCAUGAUAAAUGAUAAUAUUAAAUUUAUUUGUAAAAUACCUAUAAAUUAUUUUUAAUUGUAUUAUAAGCUUAUAUACAAACACAUUUCACAUUAUAAAAUUAAACUUCACUACUCAAAUACAUGAUUUAAAAUUAUAUAAAAGAUUAAAAUUAUAGUGAUUUUUAAUAGUAAAAAAAUAUAUAAAAAUAGUUUAUUUGCUAUAAAUAAAUAACAAACUCUUGCUACCCUUACUCUUGUAAUAGCAAAUAUUUCACGAUUUUAUUUUUUGUAUUUUAGCUAAUUGAGUAAGUCAUUGACAUCAUACAACCAAAUUAAAACAAAAUAAAAAAUAAAUUCAAUAUGUAAUAAUUAUCUUCUAAUAUAAUUAUAUUUUAGGUUAUAAGAGUAACUUUAAAAGUUUUAAGUACUAGUUUUAUAAGGAUUUUUUACACACUCUUGACAACAGUUUCUAUAAUUAAGAAAAUGGGAUAAAAACCAUUAUUACAAAUUUUGAAAGAUUGUAUUUUUUCUUGUAACAUUCAAAAAUUCAUAAGGGAAAGCAUAUGUAUGAGAAGUUAAAAACCAUAGAUUUUCUUAGGAUAAUUGACAAAAAUAUGUAAAUGAUGGUGGAAGAAAAUGCAUGAUACUUUUUAUCUUUAAACUUUAUAGUUUUAAUAAAUUUAAACAUCCUUAAUAUAUAUGUAGUGCAUGGUAAUAUUACUAAAAAAUAUUUUUUUUCAGAUGUAGUAUAAUAUAUCUCCUAUAUAAUCGUAACACACAAAACAUUUUAAUUUUAUUCUUCAACAUUACAUUCCAUCUAGCUAAAUUCUCUUUAAUAUCCUUUUUAGUAUAUUAUCUAAAAAAGAAAAGGUUUUAAUGAUCUAAUACUUUUUUUGCUAAAGGCUUUUCUUUAUUUGGAUGCCUUUUAUGCUAAAUAAUGUAUCAAGCUCAACUGCUAUAUUAUCUUUCUUGUGAUAUAAAAAUUUGAUUUUGUGGCAAAUACAUCAACAUAAGAAACAAUUGCAUAAUGCUGCAAGACUAGAGGGACCAAGAGUGACAAGCAAAUCAACUUGUAUCACUUACAUUGUGGUUUAAUGCCUUGAAAGCAUGUAAUAAUUGAAGAUUAAUUCAAGAAUCUACAAGACUGGUUACAAGAGUGAAAGGAAUCAAAACCAAUGGUUCAUAUUAUCCCCAAGAUCUCAGAAGACCAUCACAAAGAUGUUGAAGAUUGCUUAAGUACAUCUGGUUGGCUAGUUGCACUUAAUAUAUAGAGAUCCACUUGCAUGGGAUCUGGCAUUGGUUGAUCCUUACGACACUGCAUCGUGAAAGCGUAAAAAGCAAAAGAGAGAAAGCAGAAAUGAGAAACGAAUAAUAUAUUAUCGAAGGUGACAAUUAUAACUGGGAAUCUAAAACUCAUGUGUUAAACUUGUGGCGGUCGUGUGGAGUGGAGUAGUCGAUGACGCUUCCAACAGGGAUGACGCCAUACGGAUUGAUGGAGGGAUGACUUCCGUAGUAGUGCUUUUUGAUGUGGUCCAUGCGGACGGUGUCCGAGAUCCCAUCCAUCUGGUACACGUCCUUGACGAAGUUGAAGAGGUUUGGGUACUCACGGAUCAGCUUCUUGUUGCACUUGAAAUGAACAACAUAAACCUGGCAUAGGUAAUGAAUUUGAAUAAAACUUCGAGAGAAAGCAAGAAAAAAAAACACCCCAGAGCUUACUUCGUCGAAUCUUAUGAGCGUCUUGAAGAGCCGGAGAUCUGCCUCGGUGAAAACGUUUCCGCACAGAUACCUCUGCUUUGAGAGGAUAUCCUCGCAGCGAUCCAGCGCAUUGAACAGAGCCUCAAACGCCUGCGACAAGUAAAAGAACUUGGAUUCAUGGCUUCCGAACGAAGAAAAACUAAAGAAGAAAGGUUCUGAAGAUUUACCUCCUCAUAAGGCUUCUGCUUGGUUGCAAAGCCACAGCGAUAAACUCCGUUGUUGAUGGAGUCAUACACCCAAGCGUUCACUUCAUCAAUCUUGGCCUGGAGAUCUCUCGGGUAAAGGUCGAAGUCGGGACGCUUUGCAAGAUGGUUGAACUCGCUGUUGAGCAUGCGGAUGAUAUCAGAGCUCUCAUUGUUCACGAUAGUUUUCUUUGCUUUGUCCCAAAGAACCUGUUUACGUCAGGCUAUCAAGCUCUGAAAACCUUGAAAGGAAAGAAAGAAACGAAGAAAGAAAGGUAGCAAGUACUCACGGGAACAGUGUACUUUCCAGUGUAGUUUGGAUUGGCGAUGUCGUAGAGUUCACGGACAGUCUUGGCAUUGUUUAUGGUGUCAGGCUGAGCACCAGGUUCCUCGUUGUCAGAGGAAGGAAACGUCCAUCCAAAGUGACUCUCGCCUUCUUUGGUUCUCUCCCACUUUGGUUUUGUGGACUACACGUUACGAGAGAAAGGUGUGAAGAUCAUCCUCAAGAAAACAAAAGAAGAAGCUUCUAGCACUUAGAAUUGUCCAAAGCAACAAGGAUACACGCCAACCAUAUGAAGCACAAGAAUCGAAGAAAACAACACUUAGUUGUCACAAACAAAC